AUACGGAGGGUGCAAGCGUUAUGCGGAAUCACUGGGCGUAAAGGACGCGUAGGCGGGUUGGCAAGUCAGAUGUGAAAUCCUACAGCUUAACUGUAGAACUGCAUUUGAAACUGCUAACCUAGAGUAUGGGAGGGGGAGAUGGAAUUAGUGGUGUAGGGGUAAAAUCCGUAGAUAUCACUAGGAAUACCGAAAGCGAAGGCGAUUUCCUGGAACAUAACUGACGCUAAGGCGUGAAAGCGUGGGGAGCAAACAGGAUUAGAAACCCUAGUAGUCC
rnacentral:rRNA from 1 species